rnacentral:rRNA from 1 species
ACGAACGCUGGCGGCGUGCUUCACACAUGCAAGUCGAACGGAAAGGCCCUGCUUUUGUGGGGUGCUCGAGUGGCGAACGGGUGAGUAACACGUGAGUAACCUGCCCUUGACUUUGGGAUAACUUCAGGAAACUGGGGCUAAUACCGGAUAGGAGCUCCUGCGGCAUGGUGGGGGUUGGAAAGUUUCGGCGGUUGGGGAUGGACUCGCGGCUUAUCAGCUUGUUGGUGGGGUAGUGGCUUACCAAGGCUUUGACGGGUAGCCGGCCUGAGAGGGUGACCGGCCACAUUGGGACUGAGAUACGGCCCAGACUCCUACGGGAGGCAGCAGUGGGGAAUAUUGCACAAUGGGCGGAAGCCUGAUGCAGCAACGCCGCGUGCGGGAUGACGGCCUUCGGGUUGUAAACCGCUUUCGCCUGUGACGAAGCGUGAGUGACGGUAAUGGGUAAAGAAGCACCGGCUAACUACGUG